rnacentral:rRNA from 1 species
CAGUAGCCACGGUAAUACAGAGGGUGCGAGCGUUAAUCGGAUUUACUGGGCGUAAAGCGUGCGUAGGCGGCUUUUUAAGUCGGAUGUGAAAUCCCUGAGCUUAACUUAGGAAUUGCAUUCGAUACUGGGAAGCUAGAGUAUGGGAGAGGAUGGUAGAAUUCCAGGUGUAGCGGUGAAAUGCGUAGAGAUCUGGAGGAAUACCGAUGGCGAAGGCAGCCAUCUGGCCUAAUACUGACGCUGAGGUACGAGAGCAUGGGGAGCAAACAGGAUUAGAUACCCGCGUAGUCCCUGUCUCUUAUAC